rnacentral:lncRNA from 1 species
GUGAAAUCCUGUGAUUCUGGGAUCCUGUGAUUGUGAGAUCCUGGAUGUGUCAGAGCUUCUGGGAGUCAAGCUGCUUCUGUGAUCCUGUGAUUCUGUGAUCCUGCAAUCCAGAGAAUGGUCUGUUUCCUGUGUCUCUCAAGAGAUGAAGGAGAAAAGGCCCAUCUCUGUGGGUGUUGAACCAUGGAGAUUCAAGGGGACAUAUGCCUGACCACCCACCAGCCAACAAUGCAACUCUGGAUACAAGUGCCUGUGUCCUUCCUCCAGUUGCUGGAAUUUAGCUACUAGAUCUAUGCUCCAUCAGCUUCCAGGAGCUCCAACCAUGAUGUCCUGGUCAUGCUGGUCAAGAACGGUUCCCUCAUCCCAACCCCUGACUUGGGUUUGCAACAUGUCCUGGAACCUGGACCACCAGCACCAGCAGAUGCUGUAACAAAAUUCCUGAACAGGAUGUGAAAGUGUUUCAGCUGAGCCUUGAGAGGUGAACGUACCUUGGCACCUGUCCCCUGGAUGGGACAACUUGAGGAAGGGCCAUCCAUAUUCCUGUUUCCUACCCAGGACACUGCUAAUGUGCAUAUGAGGGUAGAAAUCAAGAGAUAAGAUUGACAAAGAAUCAAGACACUGAGUCCUGGAACUUUCAUAGAGAGGAGGUUUGUAAGAAUGAUGAGCUUCUAAGUUGGAUGCUUUACAACCUAGUCAUGAACAGUCCAUGAAGAGAAAAGGUAUUGGGGGGGACAAGCUGAACCUGAUAUGUUUCCACUGUUAAGAGUCCCUGUCUGUGACAUGGAGGCAUGUCAGUACCUGGUACUGAUAUGGAGGUGUCCAUGAGAGUCUGAUGAAACACCUGGCUGCCCCCAGUGAGGAGAGUGGAAUGAAGUCAACCUCUGCUUUAUUCUCACAUUCUAUGAGUCUGGACAUCAUGAACGAGGAUGUUGGGAGCUCAAACAGAAGCAAGCGAUAAAAACCAAGAUCAAAGGACAACCCACCAUGUCUUCCAGGGAACUAGCAUUUAUGUAUUCUCUGAAAUAUCCCAAGAAUUCCCAA